UCUGGUGCCAGCAGCCGCGGUAAUUCCAGCUCCAAUAGCGUAUAUUAAAGUUGUUGCAGUUAAAAAGCUCGUAGUUGAAUUUCGGGGUUAGUAGAUUGGUCAUGCCUCUGGUAUGCACUGGUCUUACUGAUUCCUCCUUCCUGAUGAACCGUAAUGCCAUUAAUUUGGUGUUGCGGGGAAACUGGACUGUUACUUUGAAAAAAUUAGAGUGUUUAAAGCAGGCUAACGCUUGAAUACAUUAGCAUGGAAUAAUGAAAUAGGACGUUCGAUCUUAUUUUGUUGGUUUCUAGGAUUGACGUAAUGAUUAAUAGGGAUAGUUGGGGGCAUUAGUAUUCAAUUGUCAGAGGUGAAAUUCUUGGAUUUAUUGAAGACUAACUACUGCGAAAGCAUUUGCCAAGGAUGUUUUCAUUAAUCAAGAACGAAAGUUAGGGGAUCGAAGACGAUCAGAUACCGUC
rnacentral:rRNA from 1 species